UCUGCCUAUGAUGAUUUGUACACCAGAUUGAAAACUUGUGAAACAACUAUUAAACAUGCACUACCAUCUGAGGCAUU
rfam:Biomphalaria glabrata isolate BB02 unplaced genomic scaffold LGTN_random_Scaffold6123, whole genome shotgun sequence.